CCUACGGGUGGCAGCAGUGGGGAAUAUUGCACAAUGGGGGAAACCCUGAUGCAGCGACGCAGCGUGAGGGAGGAAGUAUUUCGGUAUGUAAAGCUCUAUCAGCAGGGAAGAAAAUGGCUGUACCUGACUAAUAUGCCCCGUCUAACUACGUUCCUGCAGCCGCGGUAAUACGGAGGGGGCAAGCGUUAUCCGGAUUUACUGGGUGUAAAGGGAGCGUAGACGGAAUAGCAAGUCUGAUGUGAAGACCCGGGGCUCAACUCCGGGAGUGCAUUGGAAACUGUUGAUCUAGAGUGUCGGAGAGGUAAGCGGAAUUCGUGGUGUAGCGGUGAAAUGCGUAGAUAUCAGGAGGAACACCAGUGGCGAAGGCGGCUUGCUGGACGAUGACUGACGUUGAUGCUCGAAAGCGUGGGGAGCAAACAGGAUUAGAUACCCGGGUAGUC
rnacentral:rRNA from 1 species